CGGUCCCGGCCUGUGCUCUGCCUGGCGCUAUUCAAAGCUCUGACAGCGCUGUGUGGCUGGGACAUACAGCAGUCUCCCUCUCUUUUCAGGAGGGCCGUCCUGAGCGUAGGACUGGCUCUUAAAGGCACGAGAGGACAGU